CACACUCUGUUCUCGAAUGGAAUGAAAUUAUUUAUGUGAAGUGUGUUUUUUCAUGCUCCUGCAGUAGUAGCUCUUCAUUUGAAGUGUGAUUCAUACUCCUACUUGUUCAUGUGAUUGUUUGGCUUGUUCAUUUGGAAUGGAAUUUGUUCUUCAUGGAGUACAACAAGAGUGGUAGUCUCAAGUAGAAGUGGUUGUUCAUGUGUUGUUGUUGAUGCAAUUGUUGUACUCCAACUGGAGUAGUUUUAACUUCUGGUAGAGUAGUUAAAACAUGGUGUAGUAAAUUGUAAAACUUUAGUUAGAGUAGUUAAAACAUGUUUUACUUGCAGUAGUAGUGGUGGUCAUCUAGUUAAAACAUGUAAUACUACUUGCAGUAGUAGUGGUGGUCAUCUAGUUAAAACAUGUAAUACUACUUGCAGUAGCAGUGGUGGUCAUCUAGUUAAAAAAAUGGUAUUUGCAGUAGUAGUGGUGGUCAUUUAGUUAAAACAUGUUAUUUGUCGUACUUGGGGUAUUAGAUGGAGUAUAAUGCUCUAUAGGAUUUCUUUUCUUUUAGAAUUCCUUUUCUUUCACUCCUCUCCUCUCCACUCCUUUCUGUAGGAGUAGGGGUAGAUGACGUGCUGUAUUAUGGAGGAGUAUUCUGUAGGAGUAUUAUAGUUAUGGGAUUUGGAUGCAAAUUUCCAGUAGUUAGAGUAAGCUUGAGUUUAAUUAAAUUUGGAUGCAAAAUUCAGUUAAAAGCUUCUGUGAAGUCCAGUGUGAACUUAACUGAAU
rnacentral:lncRNA from 1 species